rnacentral:rRNA from 1 species
UAGUAGCGGCGAGCGAAGCGGGAAGAGCUCAAAUUUAUAAUCUGGCACCUUCGGUGUCCGAGUUGUAAUCUCUAGAAAUGUUUUCCGCGUUGGACCGCACACAAGUCUGUUGGAAUACAGCGGCAUAGUGGUGAGACCCCCGUAUAUGGUGCGGACGCCCAGCGCUUUGUGAUAAGAGUCGAGUUGUUUGGGAAUGCAGCUCAAAUUGGGUGGUAAAUUCCAUCUAAAGCUAAAUAUUGGCGAGAGACCGAUAGCGAACAAGUACCGUGAGGGAAAGAUGAAAAGCACUUUGGAAAGAGAGUUAACAGUACGUGAAAUUGUUGGAAGGGAAACGCUUGAAGUCAGACUUGCUUGCCGAGCAAUCGGUUUGCAGGCCAGCAUCAGUUUUCCGGGAUGGAUAAUGGUAGAGAGAAGGUAGCAGUUUCGGCUGUGUUAUAGCUCUCUGCUGGAUACAUCUUGGGGGACUGAGGAACGCAGUGUGCCUUUUGGCGGGGGUUUCGACCUCUUCACACUUAGGAUGCUGGUGGAAUGGCUUUAAACGACCCG